rnacentral:tRNA from 1 species
AUUACUUUGGCAGAAUAGUGUUUUAAAUUUAGAAUUUAAUUAUGUAUAAUUAGAUUAUACAAGUAAUA